GACGAACGCUGGCGGCGUGCUUAAUACAUGCAAGUCGAACGGACAGGCCCUGCUUUUGUGGGGUGCUCGAGUGGCGAACGCGUGAGUAACACGUGAGUAACAUGCCCUUGACUUUGUGAUAUCUUUAGGAAACUCGGGAUAUUAUCGGAUAUGAGCUCUUGCUCCGCGUUGUGGGUUGGAAAGUUUCGGUUGUUGGGGAUGGAAUCGCGGCUUAUCCGCCUGUUGGUGGGGUAGUGGCUUACCAAGGCUUUGACGGGUAGCCGGCCUGAGAGGGGGACCGGCCACAUUGGGACUGAGAUACGGCCCAGACUCCUACGGGAGGCAGCAGUGGGGAAUAUUGCACAAUGGGCGGAAGCCUGAUGCAGCAACGCCGCGUGCGGGAUGACGGCCUUCGGGUUGUAAACCGCUUUCGCCUGUGACGAAGCGGGAGUGACGGUAAUGGGUAAAGAAGCACCGGCUAACUACGUG
rnacentral:rRNA from 1 species